CCGACCUUAGCUCAGUUGGAAGAGCACAAGACUGUAAUAGGCUGCCAAUGUCCUCAUCUUGGGGUCGCCUGUUCGAACCAGGCAGGUCGGA